GACGAACGCUGGCGGCGUGCUUAACACAUGCAAGUCGAGCGGUAAGGCCCUUCGGGUACACGAGCGGCGAACGGGUGAGUAACACGUGGGUGACCUGCCUCUAGCUCUGGGAUAAGCCUGGGAAACUGGGUCUAAUACCGGAUAUGACUCCACGGCGCAUGUUGUGGGGUGGAAAGCCUUGUGUGGCUAGAGAUGGGCCCGCGGCCUAUCAGCUUGUUGGUGGGGGAUGGCCUACCAAGGCGACGACGGGUAGCCGGCCUGAGAGGGCGACCGGCC
rnacentral:rRNA from 1 species